rnacentral:misc_RNA from 1 species
CCCGCGUCGAUGUUCUGCUGGAAUUUUCUGAAAUUACACUAGAUAAUCUACAGAGGCAGAAACACACGGGAAGCGAAGGGGUUGUCCUUGAUGCAUUAACUAAAGUUUUUUCAACACAAUAUAUUAUGUGCGUUAGAAAGCUAUGACGCAUCCGCCAUGAAGAAUUUAGAUUAAUGACUUCCUGCAGCACCUGGAGACUUGGAAACAUCCACCACCAUUUCCAAAUAUACUUGUACUGUUUCAUACAGAACGAAAAAACUGGCUAAGUUACUCGUAAGAAUGUUAAUGUGGUUAGUUGGAAAAGCCAUCAUCUUUUUGGCACCACCCCUAUAUACAAAUUAAAGAUCACACCUCCGGAGGACAGGUUGUCAAGUGAAGAGCAAAAGAUACAUUAUGCCUGAAGAAGGCCACAUAGGUGAACAGACGUUUCUUACAUUAUAAAGCUCCAAAACAGGCACAAUCAUCGUCCAUCUCUAUCGUGAUUCAUGAUCAGCAUUAUGCAUUCUUGGGAUCAUUCUUGGAUCCCUUUUCUUGUGCUUCCAGAACUCAUCUUUCUUUCCUUUCUUCUUAACUUUCAACAAACCCAUCCGGCUAUUAAUUAUACCAAGUAUGGCACUCCGGUCCCUCCUGUUCUUUACCUUAGCUUUUACCUCCAGUAAUGCCCUAAGCUUUUGAUAAGACUUGGCAUCUGGCACUUGCCCACUUUUCACCAUCUUCUUGUGAUAGAAGAACGCCCUCCUGAAAUCUCGAACACGGAUAAAUGCAUAUAUCAUGGUCAAGUAAGUAACAGAAUCAGGUUUUAAAUCGAGAGCUGCCAUUUCUUUCAAUAGCUGUGGCAACUUUGAGUGUUGCCCUCCCCGACCAUAUGCGUUCAUCAGCAUAUUGUAUGUUAUCACUGUUGGCUGCAAGCCAAACUUCCCAAAUUCAGAUAUCACAUCUCUUGCUUCCACAUAGUGACCUUGUUUAGCAAACCCAUCAAGAAGAAUGUUGAAUGUGACCCUUGUCCCUUCAACUUUUUCUCUUAUCAUCAAUUUCCAAAUUUUCAUUAGCAUUUGGGCGUCACCAGCACGUCUAAAUGCAUCCAGCAGAGCAGUGUAGGUUUCUACAGAGGGUUUGACUCCUUCUCUUUGCAUAUGCUCAAAUGCAAUGUAGGCUUUUUCAUGCCAACCACUAACUGAAUAAGCAUGGAUAAGAGCUGUAUAAGAAUGUGAAGUAGGUUUUAUACCAACUUUCUUCAUUUUCAAGAAUGCAUCCGCAGCCAUAUCACUCAUUUUCUUCUGCCUCCCAUAUGCGCUUAUUAAGCAUGUAUAUGAUCUGGCAUCAGGCUGUAAUCCUGCAUCCUGCAUUUCUAGCAGCAAUUUCUCAACUAUCUCAGGCUGCAUUCUUCUGCUGUAGGCAUCCAUAAGAAUGUUAAAGGUAGCAGAUGUUGGCUUAAGGCCUUUACCUUUCAUCUCAGUAAAGAGACCCUCAACUUCUUCAAUUUGGUUGGAUUUAUUAAAAGCAUCCAUUAAUGUGUUAUAUACAAUAACAUUUGAAGAAAUCCCUUUCCUUGCCAUUUCUACUUGGAUAAUUAGGGCUUCAUUCUUCAGUCCCUCAUCACAGAAUGAUUUUAUCAAAGCACCCAGAACUUCUGGACUCCAUUUGACUCCCUUCCUAUUCAUUCUCUCAAAAAACUCCCAAGCCUCUUUUGCACUACGGGCCAUUUUCCUCAUCACUGUAAUCAUUAUAGAACAUGUCACGUGAUCUGGAGAUAUGCCAUUUGCUUCCAUGGUCUCAUACACCUUACAUGCAUCAUCAUACCUUUCGCAACAGAGAAGGCCAGAAAUAGCAGCAUUGUAAACAUGAACAUCUCCAAACUCCUUAUUCUGAGGCAAGUUCCUGAACAGAAUCAUCAAUUUAUCACCCAUCCCAGCCCUUCCCAAUAUUGGAAACAAAACAGUACAAGCACGAGGAGUGACGAGAGAUGGCUCCUGCAAUCGCAUCCACUCAAAGAAAUAUAAGCAGCAAGUCAUCAUACCCUCAUCGCCCAUCAAUCCCAACACCUCUAGACACUCUGUUGCACUAAUCCUCCCCUCAAAAGCACUCAAUUGCUCUCCCAACGUAGAAUUCUCAGGUAAGUCCCUGGCAACUUGCAUUAUUUCCCCCACAAUUCCCUCAGGCAAUGGAAUCGAAUCCGAACUUGAAGAACCCAUAUGUCGGUUUUCAUUUUUGGUAAAAACAACUUCAAUAUCAGGUUCAGCAUCGGAUUGGAAGUCCGUCGAGAGGCGCCACAGAGUGCGGCGGUUUUUCUGGAGGGAGAAUUUGCCUUCGUGGGUCGGAUCUUGGGUUGAAGUGCGGGAUUUGAAGAAUCUGAUGAUUGGGUCUGUGAGGUUCUCGUCCUCUUCCUCUUGUUUCUCUAUCUCUUGCUCCCGUUGAUCAAUUCGUGCAUUUUCUAGGAGAGGGAGGAAAAUGGAAGGAG